UCGAAACUGCAUGCUCAUAUCUGAACAUCACCAUGUUUUGCUGCAAUCAAAUGAGUCCCUAUAAUCUUCAUACAAAAAAAUCCACACUACACUGCAACAUCGGACAUGGACGUAAAUUUUUCUCAGACGAGAAAGUGGACCGCAUUACUUUAUUUGGUCGUUUUCAUAGCAUUUUUUCUGCACCUCACAUUAAGAGGAAGUGAAGCACAACACUAGCAAAAGUGAACCUCAACACUAUCGGUAGUGAACCGCAUGAGUUUCUAUUGUAUUUUUUCAAACUUUUUAUGAACGAGAGUGGACGAGGGAGUGUACGCAUUAAUCUGUGUCCAAUUGUGUCUUUUAAACUUUUUCAACGAAACAAAAAAGUGAACCUCUACAACAUGGCCUUUUCGUGUUUUGAAUUGCAUGGGGGAGGCAAGAGAACUGCAUUACUCCUCUGACCAAAAUAUUUCUUUUUACUUUUUUAGCAACGCCUACCACGAGGUGAACUUCAUUGCCCUUUUUUCUGCAAAUGCACCGCCAAGGUUUUCGUAAUGAACUGCAUCGAUUUAACAAAUUUUAAACCGGUCCAUAAAAAUUAGCACAAAACAACUCCUCCAGAAGUAAUAAAAGGUGAACUCUUUUGUACAUUUUUCGUACAGCUUGACCGAAGCUGUCUCGACAAACGAAAAUAUACUCCUCGUGGCUUUAUUAGCAGAGAAGUGUACCCCAAAUUCUUAUCACAAAACAAGAGUGAGAAAAAAGUUUACUUUCGGACUGAAAAGUACUGAAGGAAAAGUAAGAGCUGCACUGCACGAGGGGGAAUAAGAGGCUUGCUGAGAUUGCUCCAACAUGGCGAAGUGCACUGCAGGGCGGCGUAGAUGUGGAAGACGACAGAGGGGUUUACAACUAACUGCACGCCAGGGGUUGCUUACCUCUCGCCAAUAGGUGCCUCCGAUUAGCACAAGCUGGACCAAGGCCACCGCCGAUCCACCGUAGCAUUUUUGCUGCUGAACCGCAUGGCUACGGAUCCCGAACUGCACGCCAGCAAAAACCAAAACAUCAUGAGAACAUUUUGCACUGCAGUGCGGAUGACAUUGAUGGCAACCGAAACGAACUGCAUGUUAGGGGAGAAGAGAGCCGCAAGGGGGAAGGGGUUGCUUCGGCGAAUUGAAUCCCAGAGGAAGGGGGUGCCAUAGCCGGUCCUAGCGUCAUGGUCAGGGCUCGCCGCAGGUGCUCCGACGAGGUCGAGCUUGACGAGCGCGGCCACUGGCCAUGGAGAAGGCGCGGGAGGGCAGGGGGCUCAGAUCCGUUGGUCGCCGUGGUCCAGGUGGAGCCUGGUGGCUUCCGCAACCUCCCUGGGGGCUGUGGUGGCCGGAUCUGGUGUCGGUGGCCGCGUGCGGGGGGUACUGUUUUCGGUUCAGCAGAAUAUUAGCAGAAUAUGAGGGGAGGGGAUGCAGGAGAGCUCGUCGGAGGGGAGAGGAGGCAGGGGAACUUGACGGAGGGGAUCAGGGCCGGGGCUGGCCGGCGUAGGGGCCGGGGCCUUGGAGGCCGGCCGUCGCGGGGCGGCGCGGGAGGCCGGCGUCGCGGGACGGGGUGGGCCGGGCAGACGAGGGCAGUGGAACCGGAUCCCUCUGGAUCCGGUGGUUGCUUGGCGGGGGCGU
rnacentral:rRNA from 1 species